rnacentral:lncRNA from 1 species
CAGUGAUUGCUGUUUAACAUUGGAAUUCAUUUGUGAGCACCUACAUGUAUCUUUCUAUAUCAAUACCUGAAAGAGUUUUUAUCAAUAAAAAAAUUGAAAUAUUUAAUUUUAUGUGUUUCAGAAGGAAUUGCACAUAAUUUUUCAUAAAGAAUGUGUUUUCCCCACCAAUGUCUUAAGCUUAUCGAUGUCUGUGCCUAUCCUCAAAAUAAGAUAGGUACCUUAGGUUGCUUCCUUUCCAUUGGCCUCUACUUCUCUGUCUGACAUCCCCUUGAUUUUGGAAUACUAUAAUUAUACUUUUCAUUAUGGACUUUAUGAAUAUAUUACUUAUUCAUUGUCAUUGUUUCAACUAGUGAUCUUCAAACUUUUUUGGCUGUGUGCUCAUAUUAGGUUUUUAAAAAUUGAGCAAGUAUGUACAUAUACUUAAUUUUAAAUUACAUUAUAUACACUAUAGUAAUAGAUUAUAUACAUGUAAAGGUUUCGUGAAGAAUUUGUUUUUAGAAUGCGGAUUGAAAAAUAAAUAUAAGUAGACAUGUUAAUUGCUUCCUAUAGCAUACCCUCUAUCAGCCAGGGCUCUCCAGAGAAACAGAACAAAUAGAACACAUAUAGAAACAGAACAAAUAUACCCAUAUAUGUAUGUAUAUCGCAAGAGAGAAAAAAGAGAUUAGUUUUAAGGAAGGGAAUUGGCUCAUGUGAUUGUGGAGGCUGGCAAGUCCAAAAUCUGCAUGGUAGGCUGGAGACCUAGGGAAGAGUUGAUGUUGCAGUUUGAGUCUGAAAGCAUUUUGCUAGCAGAAUUCCCUCUUCCUUGGGGGAGGUCAGUCUUUUUCUUAAGGCCACUGAUUAGAUGAGUCUCCCCAUCACGACAGAGAUUCUGCCGUAUUCAUAAGCUU